rnacentral:rRNA from 1 species
GACGAACCACACAAACGUUAUUCGGAAUUACUGGGCUUAAAGGGCGCGUAGGCGGCGACCCAAGUCAGAUGUGAAAGUCCUGGGCUUAACCUGGGGACUGCAUUUGAUACUGGGUUGCUUGAAUUCGGGAGAGGAUAGCGGAAUUCCCAGUGUAGAGGUGAAAUUCGUAGAUAUUGGGAAGAACACCCGGUGGCGAAGGCGGCUAUCUGGACCGACAUUGACGCUGAGGCGCGAAAGCGUGGGGAGCAAACAG